GUUCGAGCCGCCCUGCAGCGGUGUGGAGACUCCGACCAGCUGGGGCAGGCGGCUCAGGUCGCGGCCAGCCAGGGGUUGGGAAACUAGCUUCCAUGGCCAAACCUAGCCCACUGUCUGUUUUGGUGUCCAUGGAUUGGCUGGGACAGCUCUGCUUAAGGAUGUAGUAGCUCUGUAGGUUGGCUAGUUUCCUGCUCUUCCCAACCUGCCCUAUGGACUUCAUAAGAUUUCAGCAUUAGAGAGAAUAUAGAAGGACAUCAACCCUAACUUCAUCCAGUGAGGAUUUCCACACACCAUACACUCUCUGAGAGUUCUCUUGGCUUUGUGUGCACACCUCCAGUGACAGGGAGCUCGCUAUGUCAUGAGGCAGCCUGCUCCCUUGUGGCUAUCACUGACCCAACUAUUAAGCCUUCUUAUACAGACAGUCCCUGACUUACUGUUAGACUUACAACUUUUUGAUUUUACAGUGGUGCAAAAGCAAUAUGCAUUCAAUAGAAACUGUAUUUCAAAUUUUGAAUUAUGAUCUUUUCCCAGGCUAGCAACAUAUGAAGACCAACCUUUUAUUUUUAAAGUAGGCUUUGUUUUAGAUGCUUUUGCCCAACUAUAGGUUAAUGUGAAUGUUCUGAGAAUAUUUAAGGAAGGCUAGGCUAAACUGUGAUCUUUGGGAGCUCAGAUAUGUUAAGUGCAUUUUCAACUUACAAUAUUUUCAACUUACGAUGAGUUUAUUGGGAUGAAGCCCAUUGUAAGUAAAGGAGCAUCUACAUUAAGCUAAAAUCCAUGUCUAUAACUUUCUCAGUAAUAUCAAGUUUGUUCCUUGGAGCCAGAGAAUAAACGGAAUGCUUUUCCA
rnacentral:antisense_RNA from 1 species